UGUUUCCCAUGAGGCUCUGCCUCUUGGAAAAGCUGCUGCCUCAACACCCAGGUUUUCCCAUACAUACUCUGGAGUCUAGACAAAGGCUCCCAAGCCUCUAGUUUUGUGCUCUGUGCACCUGCUGGCUUAGUACUAUGUGGAAGCCACCAAGGUUUGAAGCUUGCACCCCUGAAGCAGUGAUGCAAGCUGUACCUGUGCAUCUUUCAGCCGUGACUGGAGCUGGAGCUGGAGCUGGAGCUGCAGGGAUGCAGGCAGCAGUGUCCUGAGGAUGAACACAGCAACGCGACCAUGGGACUCACCCAGGAAAGCAUUCUUGGGUCCUAGAACUCGGGGCCUGUGACAGCAAGCUCUGCUGCAAAGGUCUCUGAAAUGGCUUCAAGACCUUUUAACCUUGUCUUAGCUAUUAGCACUGGGCUCCAUUUUAUGCAACAUUUCUGAAGCCUUCUUGAACUUUCCCACUGAUAAUAAGCUUUUCUUUUUGACCACUUGGCCAGGCUGCAAAUUUUCACAACUUUUAAUCUCUCCUUGUCAUUUAAAUAUGUUUCACCUUGAGGUCAUUUCUUUGGUCACAUAUUUUCAUGUGAGACCUUCUAAGCCUGGUGGUCACUGUCCAUCCUUAUGUCACCUUCUUAAUUAUAACUAUUUAACAAG
rnacentral:lncRNA from 10 species